rnacentral:rRNA from 1 species
UACGAAGGGGGCUAGCGUUGCUCGGAAUCACUGGGCGUAAAGGGUGCGUAGGCGGCGCGGUAAGUCGGGUGUGAAAUCUCGGGGCUUAACUCCGAAACUGCAUUCGAUACUGCCGUGCUUGAGGACUGGAGAGGAGACUGGAAUUUACGGUGUAGCGGUGAAAUGCGUAGAUAUCGUAAGGAAGACCAGUGGCGAAGGCGGGUCCCUGGACAUCUCCUGACACUGAGGCACGAAAGCUAGGGGAGCAAACAGG